AGUGAACGCUGGCGGUAGGCCUAACACAUGCAAGUCGAACGGCAGCACAGAGGAGCUUGCUCCUUGGGUGGCGAGUGGCGGACGGGUGAGGAAUACAUCGGAAUCUACUCUGUCGUGGGGGAUAACGUAGGGAAACUUACGCUAAUACCGCAUACGACCUACGGGUGAAAGCAGGGGAUCUUCGGACCUUGCGCGAUUGAAUGAGCCGAUGUCGGAUUAGCUAGUUGGCGGGGUAAAGGCCCACCAAGGCGACGAUCAGCAGCUGGUCGGAGAGGAUGGUCAGGCACACUGGAACUGAGACACGGUCCAGACUCCUACGGGAGGCAGCGGUGGGGAAUAUUGGACCAUGGGCGCAAGCCUGAUCCAGCCAUACCGCGUGGGUGAAGAAGGACUUCGGGUUGUAAAGCCCUUUUGUUGGGAAAGAAAUCCAGCUGGCUAAUACCCGGUUGGGAUGACGGUACCCAAAGAAUAAGCACCGGCUAACUUCGUGCCAGCAGCCGCCGUAA
rnacentral:rRNA from 1 species